rnacentral:rRNA from 1 species
GAUGGUAGGAUAGAGGCCUACCAUGGUGGUAACGGGUAACGGGGUGUUAGGGCACGACACCGGAGAGGGAGCCUGAGAAACGGCUACCACAUCCAAGGAUGGCAGCAGGCGCGCAAAUUACCCAAUCCCGACACGGGGAGGUAGUGACAAUAAAUAACAAUACGGGGUUCUUUAGGAUUUCGUAAUUGGAAUGAGUACAAUCUAAAUCCCUUAACGAGGAACAAUUGGAGGGCAAGUCUGGUGCCAGCAGCCGCGGUAAUUCCAGCUCCAAUAGCGUAUAUUAAAGUUGUUGCAGUUAAAAAGCUCGUAGUUGAAUUUCGGGGUUCUACCGUUGGUCGGGCUUUGUCUGUACUGGCGUGUAGAAUUUCUACCUUCUGGGGAACCAUCAUGUUAUUAAUUUAACGUGGUGGGAAACCAGGACCUUUACCUUGAAAAAAUUAGAGUGUUCAAAGCAGGCUUAUGUCUGAAUACAUUAGCAUGGAAUAAUAAAAUAGGACGGUGGUCCUGUUUUGUUGGUUUCUGAAUCACCGUAAUGAUUAAUAGGGAUAGUUGGGGGCAUUAGUAUUCAAUUGUCAGAGGUGAAAUUCUUGGAUUUAUUGAAGACUAACUUCUGCGAAAGCAUUUGCCAAGGAUGUUUUCAUUAAUCAAGAACGAAAGUUAGGGGAUCGAAGACGAUCAGAUACCGUCGUAGUCUUAACCAUAAACUAUGCCGACUAGGGAUCGGACGAUGUUAAUUUUUAAAUGACUCGUUCGGCACCUUACGGGAAACCAAAU